AAAUGAAUUGACGGGACCCCGCACAAGCGGUGGAUCAUGUUGUUUAAUUCGACGAUACGCGAAGAACCUUACCAGGUCUUGACAUCCCCUGCAAAGCUAUGGAGACAUAGUGGAGGUUAUCAGGGAGACAGGUGGUGCAUGGUUGUCGUCAGCUCGUGUCGUGAGAUGUUGGGUUAAGUCCCGCAACGAGCGCAACCCUUAUUGCUAGUUACCAUCAUUAAGUUGGGGACUCUAGCGAGACUGCCAGUGAUAAACUGGAGGAAGGUGGGGAUGACGUCAAAUCAUCAUGCCCCUUAUGACCUGGGCUACAAACGUGAUACAAUGGCUGAAACAAAGGGCAGCGAAGGAGCGAUCUGGAGCGAAACCCAAAAAAGCAGUCUCAGUUCGGAUUGAAGUCUGCAACUCGACUUCAUGAAGUCGGAAUCGCUAGUAAUCGCGGAUCAGAACGCCGCGGUGAAUACGUUCUCGGGGUUUGCACACACCGCCCGU
rnacentral:rRNA from 1 species